UAGGGAAUCUUCGGCAAUGGACGGAAGUCUGACCGAGUAACGCCGCGUGAGUGAAGAAGCUUUUCGGAUCGUAAAGCUCUGUUGUAAGAGAAGAACGAGUGUGAGAGUGGAAAGUUCACACUGUGACGGUAUCUUACCAGAAAGGGACGGCUAACUACGUGCCAGCAGCCGCGGUAAUACGUAGGUCCCGAGCGUUGUCCGGAUUUAUUGGGCGUAAAGCGAGCGCAGGCGGUUAGAUAAGUCUGAAGUUAAAGGCUGUGGCUUAACCAUAGUAGGCUUUGGAAACUGUUUAACUUGAGUGCAAGAGGGGAGAGUGGAAUUCCAUGUGUAGCGGUGAAAUGCGUAGAUAUAUGGAGGAACACCGGUGGCGAAAGCGGCUCUCUGGCUUGUAACUGACGCUGAGGCUCGAAAGCGUGGGGAGCAAACAGGAUUAGAUACCCUGGUAGUCCACGCUGUAAACGAUGAGUGCUAGGUGUUAGACCCUUUCCGGGGUUUAGUGCCGUAGCUAACGCAUUAAGCACUCCGCCUGGGGAGUACGACCGCAAGGUUG
rnacentral:rRNA from 1 species